UAGGUCGUCCGGCUAAAGGAGGAACUCGAGCCCUUGUUUAAAGGCAAGCCAAUCAUUUGCUGCAGAUGCAUCUUAAAUUGUGUUGAAAUGUUGAUGAAAUGUAAUGUUUCAAAAUUGAAAUGUCCCAAAAUGCAGCAACCAGGUGGGAAGUUGCAUGCGUUUUUUUUUGUUUCCACGAUAAUAGCAGUAUUAACUUGAUGUAUUGUUUCAGCAGUUUACCUGGAAGCCAUUAUUUCUUAGAAUGGGUGGAAUUGGAAAGUUAAUAUAAGCCAAAAAAAUCAUGCAUCCCGGGAGUGUGGCGGUGGGAAUCCGAUUUUGCGGCGGAGAAUCCGAAAACACAAGAUAUAAUGGGCUCCAAUAAUGAUUAUGCUGAAAGUGCAGCAAGAACAAAUCUCACAUGAUGUUGUUCAGAUCUCUCAUAGAUCAGAAUUCGAUAAAUUUAGAAUGAUCUGAGAAUGAGAUGAACCAAUAUUUUUAUUCAAUUGUGAAUGUGCACGAAAUUCAUUCAGAUGUGAAUCUUGCUCUGGCUGAAUGCAUUGCAUAUGGACUGUUUGUAGUGAACACUGCUGGAUUUUUGUGAAUAAAGUGGAUAAGAGCAGCAUAAUCCACUUCUGCAUUCUGAGACAACUAGGGCGAGAUAAUGCUACUUGGCAAACAAUGCAUAAAAGAUAGAACGCUCGUAAUAUUGAUAGCUACCCCAUAAAAGUUGUUAUAAAUUAGCAUGGGGGUUGCCAUAAACCAGAUUGUCUUAUUCUCUUUCGACAAAAGCUCUGGGGUUACUUGCUCUGUUAGUAACUCACGCAACCAUGAAAUUGCUCUACCCUUUUUUUUGUGCACACAGCUAGUCACUCUUUUUUUCAUUUUCUUUAUUUUGGACCAAAUGACGCCCAUUUUAUUAGCUUGAUCUUCACCAAAACCCUCCGAAAUAUUCUCAUCAUCUUUGUUGGUAAUUAUUAAUUGCUACCCCAGACAUGUGCAAAUAGAAGCUUCCAGAUUUGAAUUCUAGAUGUUUCCUAGCUAUUUAAUUCUGUCUUAUCUUCAUCACAUUGACUAUAAAUAAGAUAUAAUAUGAAUUGUUAUUCGCUCUUCUGAGAAGUAGAUAUAAUAUAAUUUCUGAGUUUGUUUUUGUUUC